CUCGGCCAAAGACGGCCUUGAUGGCUAAGCGCAGAGCGGAGGCGGUGGCCUGUCGCGCGCCUUGCCAGCCGCGCUCCUUUCCGCGCGCGCCUCCUUCGAAGCGCUCGCGGAGCGAUCUCGAACGGCGGGAGCCGCGAGACGCAGCUCUCUGGCGGGAUAACGGCGGGGAGAAGAAGCGCAAAUGGACGGUUGUCGCGGAAGGAGGCGACGAGGCGGGCGCCGGCGGCAAGAGACUCGCGGAAGGAACGGCGCGGCGGGAACCUGAGCAACGGCGUCCUGUAGCCGCGGCUAUGGCGACCGAAGUGGCGGCCCUCGCCGGAGGAGAUGCAACCGGCAGUCAGGGAGGACCCGAGAAGCCUGAAGAUGACGUUUGGCACUACAACUCCUUCCAGUUCUGGAAGUUACCAUUACCUACCAUUGAUUUGUCUGAUAUUCAAGAAUUAGAAAAAGGCUCCAUAACAGAAACAAGAUCCUCAAGUAACACCUCACUAUCAGAAAUGGAAACCUGAAGAGUAAUUUGUUGGUAUAAAUUAUGGAGUAUGGUUACUGUUUUGCACUGUUGUUUCUUGAAAGUGUAAGCAGAGUUGAAACUACAAAGGUAUUAAAUAUAUUUUGAAGAAAGGAUAACUUCUAAAUUCUUCUAAAAUGAAGGAGUCGUAUACUAUAGAAUUCAUCAAAGACUUAACUAGAGAAGUUAUCAAUGUAUAAAACCAGUAGCUUGUGAAAUUUAGAGAAUUAAAGGAGUUUACAAAAACUGAUACAUAUGAACAAAAUUGCUUUAGCUCAUUGCCAGUAUAAAUGAAAAGUGUGCAACGUUCUAAAAAGGGGUAUGUGCUAUUAUACUGCCAUGGAAAAGAGUACAAGUUAUAUGUGUGUUUUAGUUAUGGAUAGAAAAGAUUUAACAGCAAAAUAAAAUUGCAAAUCUCUGCAAAACUGAAAUUACUACGGCCAACACUUUCUUCCAAGAAUUUCCAUAGUAAUAAAUUUUGUUGCUGAGAGUAAUUUAAAUCAGUUAUUUUUAUUAUAACUGGUUACUUGGGUAAUGUUAAAAAGUUCUAGCAAUUUGCAGGCAACUUGAAGAAUCAUGAUGGAAGAUGAUAGGAAACCUACAUGAGGGACGAACUUAUGUAGGUUCUGGCUAUAUUUACAGAAAGUGAAACUGGAUUGUACCAGGAGGGAAGUUGCAGUCAGCUUGGAAUGUCUUAAUUUUUAACAGAUUUAGACUGAAACAAAUCUAGAAGAGUCUUAAAGGAUGAAUAAAGUAAAGCUACUACACUUAAAUCUCCUUUCUCUUCCUAUCCAUGAGUCCCCAUGGCUGCCCUAUUUUUAUUUACUCCACCUACUCUGUUUUGCACACCACUACCAUCAUACUCGGAUACAAGUCAGUGUUCCCCAUUACCCCAGUCUUGCUAUACUUUCUCUUGAGUCACCACUUCAGUGCAUAUUCAACUGGUCCACUCCUCCCCCACCUUGUGCUUCCUUUCCCUCCAUUGUGCUCUUUUAGCUGCCUGCUGCCUGUGUUCACGUAGUUUACCUCACAUUUUCCCUUAGGUGCCUGUUGCCAUCAGUGGUUUCCUGAUCAUUCAACUGCCAUCCAACACCUCAACCUAGAACACAUGUUCUUUAUUCACACCAAACAUUGAUUCCAGAUCUGUACACAGACCAAACAUAGGAGUUUUAGUCUGGCAUAGAAUAUUCAGAACUCUCUGUUCCAUGCACUGAAUAUUUUGCAUAACCAUACUGUAUAGUUAAAAACUUGCAUACUAUAAAAGUUUGAUUAUUUUUUAAAUACUGACUUUGCUAUCAUUUUCUUAAUGAUGGUUGUUCGAUAUCUUCAGUAGAAUUCUGAUAAUUGUUAAUUUUUGUUCAGAUUACAAGGCUUUAAAAAAUACACCACAACUUGAGCAUUUUGAAUUACCUUCACUGUCUAAUAAAAUUUCUACUGACUUCUUAAAAACAAAAGAAUUACUGUUUAUACAAUGAAAAUAAUUCACAUAUAUGAUUUCUUAUUUAUAAUGGUAUUUUCACUUUGCCAUUUCAGUAAACUUGCAUGUCGAUAAACAAGCAUAGGCAAUAUUUGUAGACUUUUUUUAAUAAGGUGUGUUGAAAUAAUUUUCCUCGUAGAAAGUAAUAUAUAAUAAGACUUACCUAAUAAGUCGUAUUAUAAGACUUAUAAUGAAGUUUCACUGACUUUCCAUAUUUUUCCAAUACUUAUGCAAUUCAUUUCAUGUUAAAUGAUACUGGUAACUGCAUAUAAGCUAUAAAGUUAGUUUUGCAUGCUUAUUCAAAAAUAAGGCUACUGAACAUUAGUCUUUGUACUAAGAUGCUUAAGUUUUGGUUAGCAAUUGCAGAUUUUUUUCCCUCUUAAAAAUACAAAUGCUGUAUAGCAGCCUCUUUCUAAUUUUGUACUUAAAUUUUGGUUGCUGUAUUUCAUUAGAAUUCACUAUCGAACUCUUCAAUACAGAAGAAAAAGCAAAUAUCGUUUCCUUUUUCCUCCAUGCUUCUCCAUUUAUUUGUUUGCUAUGGAAUGAAAGAAAGUUACUCUUACAAGAUUUCAUCAGCCUAAACAUUCCUGUUCCUUUACCAGCGUUAUUUCAUUAUUUUGAGUCAUGGACUAAAGUCUGAGAAAAUAAGACGAGGAACAAAUUACCAAAAGAAGCUACCUUUGUAAAAGGAACUACUAUCUGAAAAAUGCAUAAGGUUACUUAGAAACACAUUCUUUGAUAGCCAUAAGUUGAUAUUGUAUUUUAAUAAUUAAAAUGUGCAUUGUAAAUCAGAUAUUUGACUUUUUUCUUGCUUUCUGAAGUACAUCCUACUUGAACAAAAAGAUAUAAGGCUCCACUAGCCUAUAUACAAACAACAAGCUUUUUUAAUGAUAAUUGUUCUAUCAAUAUUUUGUUGCAACAACUAUUAAGAAGAAACAAGUCUAUUGAGAUUAGCAAGAAAAAGAUUAGCAAGAAAAAUAGUGAAAAUGCUUUUUGGUUAUCUCAGUGUGAACAAGUCAGAGCCUAUUUUAGUAAAAGAGAUCUACAAUGAACUGUUGGAUAUUUUUCCAUUGGAAAAGUUCUAUUCUGAACUAAGCUGCUACUUAAAACAACAAACAAGAAACAUUCUGAAUGUUAAUCAUUUCUUUAAUGUGGUAUAUAACUUGAAACCAAAUUGUCACAUGUUUUUGAGAAUAAGUUGUAGUCUCUUCAGUUUAAUUGCAGUACAAGUAUGUCACCAGAGUUUUCAGAGUUCAUCUUUUUCCCUGUUCCCAUUAAAGUUUUUAAUUGCAA